rnacentral:rRNA from 1 species
CACCGGCGGCUCGAGUGGUGGCCCCUUUUAUUGGGUCUAAAGCGUCCGUAGCCGGCUUGGCAAGUCCCCUGGGAAAUCUGGCGGCUUAACCGUCAGGCGUCCAGAGGAUACUGCCAGGCUUGGGACCGGGAGAGGUGAGAGGCACCUCAGGGGUAGGGGUGAAAUCUUGUGAUCCCUGAGGGACCACCAGUGGCGAAGGCGUCUCACUAGAACGGGUCCGACGGUCAGGGACGAAAGCUGGGGGCACGAACCGG